rnacentral:snRNA from 1 species
GUGCUUGCUUCGGCAGCACUUAUACUAAAAUUGGAACGACACAGAAGAUUAGCAUGGCCCCUGGGCAAGGAUGACACGCAAAUUCGUGAAGUGUUCCAUAUUUUU